ensembl:lncRNA
CUCUUAGAAGAACAAACAACCUUCUGCAGAUGCAGAAGAAAGGCAGAGAAAUAUUAGAUGACUUACCCACAGUCUGUAGCAGGUGCUCGUGGAAAUUGAGACUUGCACCAGCCGUGUCUGUUGCCAGCAGGACUCAGCAGUGUCCCCAGCUCUGAAGUCUAUGACAAGAAAAACAAAUCAAGCUCCUGACCUUGGCAUCAUCGCUCACUUAGGAAAUUUUUGUACCUGGAAGAAAAUCUGCUGAUAUUCCAUGCAAGUAAUAAAUUAUCCGACAUCAUCAGUCAAUACCAUAAUGUAUGUCAAUGCAAGUCAAUGGCAUAAGUAAAUGUAGCUGUAAAACAGAUAUCUCAAGAUAAAACUUCAGUACCUAAGAGCUUCACGAUUGCUUCUGUAAGAGGUAAAAAAACAGAUUAUUUUGGUCUUACCAUAGCUUUCUUUCUGGUACAAAAUAAGCAACUCUCCCAUGAUCUGAGCAGGAUAGUAACCAGUCCUGAACUGUUGCUUCAGGGACUUGAUGAGGAUAAUUCAAUUAUUUUUUUUUUCCCUCCAGAUUAUUUCCAAGUUGUUUGGUUUUCUUUUUUUUUUUUUUUUUUUUUUCCUUUAACCUUGGGUGAAACAUUAGGGGAGUUCUACAAACUCCUAGUCUGCAGGCAAUCUGUCAAUAUUGAGGUCAGGUGAGUUACCACACAAUGGACAGUUCACAUAUUUUCACCACAUCCACAACAGUUUUUUCUUAAAAGCAAACACCAAAGAGCUCUGCUUGACAAAUAUAUCCAUUUCAAACUAACAUCUGCAACAUCUAUUAGAGUUUGUUAAUACCUUGAUACCAUUUCCAUUGUAUCUCAAUGACCAUUGUCCUCUUGGAUCUCAAUGACAUUGACUAACAAGGCAGUUUGUAAUUUGAUGGUGUAAUUUAAUUCCUGUCCCUCUGUAAACACCUGGAUUUGCAAAUCUCCACUCUAGAUGGAGAGCUCUUUGCCACACAUCACUAAUCAUGCCACGUGCUUCUAUAUCCGUCCCCACAUCCUCCUGCUGAGCACCUCUUCUUUGUGCCCAAUAUGAGUCAGAGACUGUUGGCAAUACAGAAAGGAUCAACACAACUGCCUAGCACUGCAUGUGGCAUUUAAUGAAAAUGAAGUCAGGUCUAAUUUGCAUGGCAGGUGUUACUUUAUUACAGUCAGAGCUGCAGAAGCUGGAUGCUACAGUGCUAGGCAAGUGUGCAAGAAUGAAAGCUGCUGACAACGAGGGUGUCUGACACAGGAAUCUUGGCACCCCCCUUGUCUGCCUGCCUACCUCCUGUGCGAGGUAAAGUGACAAAUUUGUUCAUUUAUCCAGGUGCCCCUGUCCUGGUUCUUUCUGGUAACUCCACCCUCCAAGCCAUUGGAGUAGCCAAGGAGCUUGGGGGUAGAAGGCCCACCCAGUCUCCUGCCAAGGGGUCACCACACCAAGCAACUUCCAGCUCUGGCAGACCCUCCUGGACUCAAAUCCAUAAGCUACAUCUAAAGAGCUCUAUAGCAUGAGAGAAUUGAUUUCUGUCAUGCACAAGAAGUGUCUUACAAGAGAAAUACAUGAUACAAUAUUUUUUAUGAGUCAUGUGUGUUGAAAGAACAUGUAUGCUUCUUUGAGUCAAGUCACUCAAAAAAAUUAAAAGGGCAGAGCCAUGCUCCUUCAGUUCCUAUUUCCCCAAGCCAUCUCACCAAAAUGACAAGAAUGCAAAAUGCUCAUUUUCACUAUUUUUUAUUUUGUUUAGCCUUAUUAGUAUCCCCUAUAAAUAUUAAUUUUAUUUUAAAGUUUCUGAUUCUGAUUUCAGAUUCAGUUGUCAGCAGCAAUAAUACAUUGUAAAUCUUAAGCUCGUGUCUUGAAGUAAAACAUAACACACCUUCUAACAGGCUGUGGCUCCACCCACUCACUUUCUACUUCUCAGAAUUUUUGUUGCUAUUUUAUUAUCUGCCCAACUCUUUUCUGACCACUGUUCUUCCCCUAUAAGCAUUUUGCCACUGCAUUGGUUUCCAGACUGCUUCACUGCCGAGUAUCAAAAGUGCGGUGUAUUCUGACCCUCCCUGCAGAGGCUCCUGAUGCCAUUGGUUCCCGCUACAUCCCGUCCCUCACAGCCAGCCAGUACCAACCCACGGGCAGACUGACACUUCAGACUGUCUGAACAACUUCACAGACACGCCUUGAACUUAGCCGGGCAGUUAUAGCAGUAAAGUUUUAUUUAUGGCAGUUUUCAGAGAGAGAGAUCACUUUCCCGGGUAAAAAAAAAAUCUUACGAACCACACAAUCGGAACAGCACAAUGAAAUAAAGUAAAGCCUUUACCAAAAUUCA